rnacentral:rRNA from 1 species
GAUGAACGCUGGCGGCGUGCCUAAUACAUGCAAGUCGAGCGAACGGACGAGAAUCUUGCUUCUCUGAUGUUUGCGGCGGGCGGGUGAGUAACACGUGUAUACCCUACCUAUAAGACUGGUAUAACUUCGGGAAACCGGAGCUAAUACCGGAUGAUAUUUUGAACCGCAUGGUUCAAAAGUGAAAGACGGUCUUGCUGGCACUUAUAGAUGCAUCCGCGCUGCAUGAGCUAGUUGGUAGGGUAACGGCUUAGCAAGGCAACUAUGCAUAGCCGACCUGAGAGGGUGAUAGCCGACCUUGGAGCUGAGACGGGGUCAAGGGUACUACGGGAGGGAGCAGAAGGGAACCGUAGGCAGUGGGCGAAAGCCUGACGGAGCAGGGCCGCGUGAGUGACGAAGGUCUUGGGAUCGUAAAACUCUGUUAUUAGUGAAAAACAUAUGUGGAAUGAACUGUGGACAUAGUGACGGUACCUAAUCAGAAAGCAACGGCUAACUACGUG